GCCCGGCUAGCUCAAUCGGUAGAGCGUGAGACUCUUAAUCUCAAGGUUGUGGGUUCGACCCGUAAGCAUCAUUUGCCUCACUCCCGAUUCGCA